rnacentral:lncRNA from 1 species
GAGAAACUUGAUAGAGAAGGAGGAAGACCCCUUGAAUUGUCAAUUGAAGAGUUUGAUGUCAAUGGUUUCACAGCAGAUCAGGGUUGGAGUAAAAGCAAAUUUAUGCCACCAAGCAUCUUUUAUGCAUAUAGUGAUCCAAAUAAACCUGCAUCUUCUGUUGACAAUAAGGUAGAAAAUUGAAUAAUUAUAGUAUGAUCCUUUAUAUCAUGAAAAAUACGAGGCCAGUUUUAUAACGGUUAUAUAAUAUCAUUUUUAUUGCAGAAAUCAUCGUUUCAGAAGAAAUUUGCUUUGAUCUUUAUUUGUAUUCCUGUUAGUCCUGGUAAUAGCAGACUGAUUUGGUGCUUUCCAAGAAACUUUGGACUGUGGAUUGACAAAAUUGUACCGCGAUGGAUGUUUCAUGUGGGACAAAACUUGGUUCUAGAUUCAGAUUUAUAUCUUCUCCAUGUUGAGGUAAUUCCUUUUAUAAUUUACAAAUCACUUAUCCUGUUGGAGAACAAUGUAAAAGUUUGAUUCAUCGAUUAAUAUUAUUAUAUUAAUUUUUUAUAGGAAAAAAAAAUAUUGGAUGUUGGUCAAGAAAAUUGGCAUAAGGCCUGUUUUGUGCCAACAAAAUCAGAUGCUCUUGUGAUUGGUUUUAGAAAGUGGUUGAAGAAGUAUGCGGGUGGUCAAGUUGAUUGGAGAGGAAAAUAUAGUGGCGCUCUUCCUCCUACACCUCCUAGAGAACAGCUUUUGGACAGGUAACACUCAUAAGAUUGCAUUUGACACAUCGAAGUUUCAGUUUAGUUAUAUUUCAAAAAUAGUGGCAAGUUUCCUUUAACAUGUGAUGUUUUAUGUAUGGCUCUCGGUAUCCUCCGAUACAUGUGAAUCGUUUCUUGAUUUGACAGAAAAUUUAACCUGAUCGAUAUGAAUCUCUAGUGUGUAUAUAUUUUGAACAUGAAUCUCAUCUUAAAUUCCGGUUCUUUAUGAUGAAUCUCGAUCCUUUCUAACAAAUCACUACGUAUAACCUAGUGUGGCCAGCUCUUUGUUGUGAACUUUGUAUAGCUAGUCACUUUUCUUAUGUCGUUUGAUUUAUGUCUUGAAUUUUGAAUUAUUACGAGGUUCAUAUAUCAUAUAUCAACUUAUAAUUUUUCUGUCACUUGUUUUUACUUAAAAAAUGUCUUAGUUUUUAUUUGUAAUGGAUCUUAUGAUUCAUAAGAAGAUUUGGUUCAUGAUUAGAAAAAUAGGUCUUCUUGUUCACUAUUGGAAUAUGAUAUUGAUAACCAUGGUUUUAAGUGGAGAACUUUACUUAUGUCAAGCUUAAACCAAGAAUUCUAAAUAGACUGAUGUUACUAAAUCAUUAAUUGCAAUGCGUAUUUGUACCAUGUUCUUAAUUAAAAAUUAUCAAACUUGAACAGGUACUGGAGCCAUGUGGUGAAUUGCAAGAGUUGCAAUUUGGCAUAUAAGAGCCUCAAUGUGGUGGAAGUGGCGCUGCAGAUCAUAUCAGUUGCUGCAAUUGGGAUUGUUGCCGCAAUGAAGCAGGGUGCAGUUUCAGCUGUAACAAGAAAUUCAUUGGUUGUGCUUGCGGUACUUUCAUUUGCAAUGUCGCGGCUGUUAGCUCACUUCAUAUACAAAUACUUACGUUAUCAUGACUACAACCACGCCUUUCGCUGAAAUGUGUUUCCUUAGUUAUUGAUGUCCAAUUGUUAUAUGUGUAUAUACAUAGUGAAGUUGUACUAAACAAAGCUGGUAAUUAUUGUUACUUAAGAGGAGCUUUGGAACAUUUGUGUCGCUUAAAUAUGAGCAUGAUAACAGCAUGAAGAGAUGAGUUCAAUUAUUUGGAUUCCUGUUUGUCAAAAAAAAUAAAAUUAUUUGGAUUCCUGAAGCAAACAUGUUGCAAUAACUGUCAUGCACAUGCACAUGCACAUGAUUUCUUCACACCCACAAACUGUCAUGCUCUUUUACAAGUUAUAGCUCACAGGUAUGGGUCAACCCACGAACCCGAUCACCCAAAUCAACCCAACCACAUUGGAAUCCAACCCAAUCAAGUUUGGGGCUAACUCGAACUAAUCCAUUUAAAUCCAAUGAUGUUUGGUUUGGAUAGCUAGUUUGAUAUUGAACAUGUGAACUCGCAAACUCAAUGACCGACAAAAUUGAGUCUAAACAAUGAAUAUUGUACUCCUUGCAAAUAAAGGAAGGAAUAAUGGAGUCUCCGUGAUUUAGCUCAGUUGGUAGAGAUAUUCUAUUUUAUAUGUAGGGACCAGAGACUUUAAGGGUGAAAUUUCUAGCUGCUAAGUUAGUAACAAAAAAAAAAAGAAAAGAGGAAGGAAUAAUGGCGCAGCAAAUGGACAAUAAAUGGUGAGACCAGCAUGCCUAAAGAAGGAAUAAUGGCGCAGCAGAUGGACCUGUGGCUGUAGGGAUGAAAAUGGUUUUUCACUCUUAUAAAAAUGUGAACUUCGAGAUGCAUGAUCUCUUAUAAAAAUGCAAUUAAGUGUUGUCACUUUUUUCCGUAAGCUUUGCAGAAGGGAACAGUGGAAGCUAUGUUGGCCUUUUCUGUUCCUUCACUUCACAUCCCAGUAGCAAUUAAAACACAAACACCAUUAAAAAAAUCAAUGUUCUUGAACUCACAAUUGCAUUCAAAACAUUCAUUAAGUAAUGGGAGCACUUCAAAAUUCAAGCUUUUCACUGCCUCAUCACCUUCACCGUUAACAGAGUCCAGUAGUAACUUUCCAUGGGAUGAAUCAGAAGUUGAAGCAGAUUCAGAGAAAUUUGACUGGUACUCACAGUGGUACGCUUUGAUGCCACUUUGUGAUCUUGACAAAAGAGCACCUCAUGCUAAGAAGGUGAUGGGAAUUGAUGUUGUUAUAUGGUGGGAUAGGAAUGAAGGUGAAUGGAAAGUUUUUGAUGAUGCUUGUCCUCAUAGAUUGGCACCUUUGUCUGAAGGAAGAAUUGAUCAAUGGGGUAGGUUGCAGUGUGUGUAUCAUGGUUGGUGUUUUAAUGGAUCAGGUGAUUGUAAGUUCAUUCCUCAAGCACUUCGCGAUGGACCUCCGGUAACUACUCCCUGUUCCUUUUUAUCUGUCGCUUUUUUUGAAGGAGGGGUAUUGUUGCAAAAUGACAAAUAAUUUCAUCAAAACUAACACAAUUUAUUGUUUUCUUAGCAUGUGCAUAAAUGACUUUUAACACAACAACUAAAAAGAAAGAUAGAAUGUACUAUUAAAUCUUGACACAUACACUUUGCACACUGACGGUGAUAACAAUAUGAGAAAAACAAAUGAUUGAAUGUAACUAUAUGUGUUGGUGUCAUGUAAGUAUCAGGCAGCGACACGUGUUGAACACCAACUCGCCAGCAACUUGAAGUGUCGAUAUUACAUAGUCCAGAACACAUUUAGAUGUGUAGCUACCACCAACUUAAUUUCUUCUACUUGCAAUCCCUAUGGAAUAUAGAUGUGUUGCAUUAAACUGAUACUUCCAUUGUUUGUUUUGUUAUCUUGUAGUCCUCAUUUACUUUUGCAUAAACAAAACCGCAGAUUCAUACGUCGAAAAAAGCAUGUGUAGCUGCUUACCCAAGCACAGUGCAGAAUGACAUUUUGUGGUUUUGGCCAAAUACUGAUCCUCAGUACAAAGAUAUUAUCAAACGGAAAACACCCCCAUUCAUGCCAGAAAUUGAUGAUCCAUCAUAUACUAGAGUAAUGGUAAACAGAGAUAUUCCUUAUGGGUAAGAUUUUAAGACAAAUAAAAAAAUAUGAUAUUUCUUUUGUAGAUUGGCCUAGCUUAAUGUGAUCUGAUUUUGGAAGAUGAAAAUAGAACAUUACAUUACAUAUUUACAUUAUGCAUACCCAUGAGCAUAAUUUGCAUGUCAGACCUUAAGAAAACACAAAUAUGUUUUUAGACCUUAUAAAAUAUCUAAUUAGUCUUCGCAUUUUACAAAAAACAUCUUGUUUAUAGAAACUAAACUUAAAAGAUAUGUGAUUUUAUAUAGACUCAGAGGCGGCUUGGAGGCAUGUGCGAGGUGUGCGACGGCAUAGGGCCUCAAAAUUUCGAGGGCCUCAACUCAAAAUUUUGAGGUCCUAUAAUAUUACUUAUAGAUUAUUUAUACCUAUAAAAUAUCAGAUGUAUAUUAAUAGAUUAAUUUUUAAGCCCCAAAAUAAUAGUUANNNNNNNNNNNNNNNNNNNNNNNNNNNNNNNNNAUUUAAUCUUAGAUUAUGAUAUUCCUUUUUGACGUUAUAUACAAAGAUAAUUAUUUUGUAUUUCUUGUUCCAUUUAAUUUAAUGCAAGAUUUAAUAUUGAUAAUUUAUAUGUUUACAAGAAUGUUUUUUUAUAUUAUAUGCAAUUUAAAUCGAUAAUUUUUUUUAUUUUUUUUAUUAAGGGGCCACUUUUAUAUUUUGCACAGAGUCUCCUAAAACUCGGAGACGCCCCUGUAUAGACUACAAACAUAUUUAAUAAAAAAAAGAAGCAUGUCAUCUGAUUAGCAUCUUUUUCUAAUUAAAUUGAAUGUGUAAUUUCAGGUAUGAGGUACUAAUUGAAAACCUCAUGGACCCUGCACAUGUUCCAUAUGCACACUAUGGAGUAAUGAACACUGUACAACCAAAAGGUAUGCAUAUAUAUGAUAAAUGUUUUAACUUCAGAAAAUUCCUAUUUGUUUUUAUAUGAAAAUUACAUAAUUAAAACUUAAUUAAUUUAACAGAGAAAGAUGAUAGAGAAGGAGGAAGACCACUUGAAUUGUCAAUUGAAGAGUUAGAUGUCAACGGUUUCAGAGCAACUCGGGUUUGGAGUAAAAGCAUAUUUAUGGCACCAAGCAUCUUUUACAAUGUGUUUACAUCAAACAACACUUUAUAUGAUCCAAAUUACGCAUAUAGUGAUCCAAAUAAACCUGCAUCUUCCGUUGAAACUAAGGUAGUAGUAAGUAGUAACAAAUUGAGUAGCUAUAAUAUGAUCCUCUAUAUCACGGCGGCCAGUUUUAUAAUGGUGUUAUAUAAUAUAUUUUUUUUGCAGAAAUCAUCGUUUCAGAAGAAAAUUGCUUUGAUCUUUAUUUGCAUUCCUGUUAGUCCUGGUAAUAGCAGACUGAUUUGGUGCUCUCCAAGAAAUUUCGGACUGUGGAUUGACAAAAUUGUACCGCGAUGGAUUUUUCAUCUGAGACAAAACUUGAUUAUAGAUUCAGAUUUAUAUCUUCUACAUGUUGAGGUAAUUCCUUUUAUAAUAUACAAAUCACUUGUCGUGUUGGAAAACAAUUUAGAAGUCUUAUUCAUCAAGUAAUGUUACUAAAUUAAUUUUGAUAGGAAAAGAAAAUAAUGGAUGUUGGUCAAGAAAAUUGGCAUAAGGCCUGUUUUGUGCCAACAAAAUCAGAUGCUCUUGUGAUUGGUUUUAGGAAGUGGUUGAAGAAGUAUGCAGGUGGUCAAGUUGAUUGGAGAGGAAAAUAUAGCGGCGCUCUUCCUCCUACACCUCCUAGAGAACAACUUUUGGACCGGUAAAUCACAUAAGAUUGUGUUUGACACAUUGAAGUUUCAGUUUAGUUAUAUUUUCAUAUGUCAAGUUUCAGUUUAAGUAUGGUUAUCAGUGUUCACCAGUACAUGCAAAUCAUAUCUUGCUUUGACACAAAACUUAACCUAAUCGAUAUGAAUCUCUAGUGUGUAUUUUGAACAUGUUCUUGAUUACAAAUUAUCAAAUUUGAACAGGUACUGGAGCCAUGUGGUGAAUUGCAGAAGUUGCAGUUUGGCCUAUAAGAGCCUCAAUGUGGUGGAAGUGGCGCUGCAGAUCAUAUCAGUUGCUGCAAUUGGGAUUUUUGCCGCAAUGAAGCAGGGUGCAGUUUCAGCUGUAACAAGAAAUUCAAUGGUUCUGAUGGCGGUACUUUCAUUUGCAUUGUCGCUGUUGUUAGCUCACUUCAUAUACAAAUACUUCCGAUAUCAUGACUACGAACAUGCCUUUCACUGAAAUGUGUUUCCUUAGUUAUUGAUGUGAUGAAAUAUCCAACAUUGUUGUGUGUGUGUAGUCAAGUUGUACUAAAACAUAGCUAGUAAUUAUUGGUAUCUAACAUAUUGCUAUAAAAACUGUUAUCCUUCUGUUAUGGAACCUGUGAAGGGAUGUAUGUUGACACUUUCUUAGUGACUCAAAUUCUUAUAUUCUUUGUUGGAUGAGGGCAGUUUUAGUCCUACCAGUACCUUUACUAAAUUUUACAAUUCUUGUCCUACAAGAAAAGAUUCACGCAGUUUUAGUCCCUUCUAAAAUCAAAUUUAGAAUUUUAUAGCAUGACAUGACAUGAGAUUAAAAUAAAUAUGAAUUUUUUAAAAGUCAAAAAGUUCAACUAAAAAAUGUGUCAAAAAAAAGUUCAACUAAAAAUAAUGAAUAUCUGUACUAAAAAUCAAAUUUUGAGUUUUUUUUUUUGUGAAUAAACAUUUUUUUUUUUGACAAGAGAAAACUUAAUUCAUAUCAUUGAUCAAAAUGUUCUCAAUACAACGAAGAAUCGACUCAAAAAUAUAGUGACCAGACAUGGAAUAUGCCGCUCGUGCUAAGGCGUGGGCGGCCAUAUUCGCUUGUCGCUUUACAAAUUUAACCUCAAAGUUGGACUUUGAUAAUAAUAAAGACUUAAUGCUAGAAAUCAACAACUAAACUCAGAUAUUCCUAUUUGGCUAGAAUCAUAUUUGCCGCUUUUUCUGAAAAUAAAGAAUUUAUCUUUUCAACAUCCCAUUGUUUUGAGUUAGGAGUCAUAAGUUGUUGAAUAGAUAAAUUGUACACACCAUAGUGGAGAGAUUAAAUGCUUAUAAUAUGAACUUAAUUGAGUAGCUAUAAUAUGAUCCUCUACAUCACGGCGGCCAGUUUUAUAAUGGUGUUAUAUCAUAUAAUUUUUUUGCAGAAAUCAUCGUUUCAGAAGAAAUUUGCUUUGAUCUUUAUUUGCAUUCCUGUUAGUCCUGGUAAUAGCAGACUGAUUUUGUGCUCUCCAAGAAAUUUCGGACUGUGAAUUGACAAAAUUGUACCGCGAUGGAUGUUUCAUCUGAGACUAAACUUGAUUCUAGAUUCAGAUUUAUAUCUUCUCCAUGUUGAGGUAAUUCCAUUUAUAAUUUACGAAUCAUUGUUGGAGAACAAUGUAGAAGUUUGAUUCAUCAAUUAAUGUUACAAUAUUAAUUUUGAUAGGAAAAAAAAAAUAAUGGAUGUUGGUCAAGAAAAUUGGCAUAAGGCCUGUUUUGUGCCAACAAAAGCAGAUGCUCUUGUGAUUGGUUUUAGAAAGUGGUUGAAGAAGUAUGCAGGUGGUCAAGUUGAUUGGAGAGGAAAAUAUAGCGGCGCUCUUCCUCCUACACCUCCUAGAGAACAGCUUUUGGACAGGUAACCUAAUCGAUAUGAAUCUCAAGUGUGUAUAUAUAUUGAACAUGAAUCUCAUCUUGAAUCCCAGUUCAUUAUGAUGAAUCUCGUUUUAUUAAUGACAAGAAUUUAUUGAGGUUCAUAUAUGAUAUAUCAACUUAAACUUUUGUUAUGUAAAAAAAAAAACUUAAAAUUUGUCACAGAUUUUUCCAUAAAAAUGUCCUAGUUUUCAUUGGUAAUGUAGUUUAUGAUUCAUAAGAAGAUUUGAUUAACGGUUAGAGAAAUAGGUCUUCUGAUUCACUAUUGGAAUAUUAAAUUGAUGACCAUGGUUUUAAGUGGAGAGCUUUAUUAUGUCAAGCUUAAACCAAGUUAUAGGUUCACCUAGUUUGCGUUUGCUUGUUUUUGUUUCCCCACACUUGUUUAUUUUAUGGGUUUGGUUUCGCCCCCCCAUCUUGUAUAUAUAUUUUUCCUUUUUAUAUAUAAAUACAUGAACACUUGGCAGGGGAUGGGAGCCUACGAGAGGUGCCAACCUCGUUGGGAUGUCUUCUAGGUUCUCCGAUGUCAUUAUGUUGUUAAUUCAUCAAAAAAAUGUCAAGCUUAAACCAAGAACUUUCAAAUAUAAAAUUCUAAAAAGAUCAAUGUUACAAAAUCAUUAAUUGCAAUGGGUAUUUGUACCAUGUUCUUGAUUACAAAUUAUCAAAUUUGAACAGGUACUGGAGUCAUGUGGUGAAUUGCAAGAGUUGCAGUUUGGCCUAUAAGAGCCUCCAUGUGGUGGAAGUGGCGUUGCAGAUCAUAUCAGUUGCUGCAAUUGGGAUUGUUGCCGCAGUGAAGCAGGGUGCAGUUUCAGCUGUAACAAGAAAUUCAAUGGUUGUGCUUGCGGUACUUUCAUUCGCAUUGUCGCGGUUGUUAGCUCACUUCAUAUACAAAUACUUACGUUAUCAUGACUACAACCACGCCUUUCACUGAAACAAAGCUGGUUAAUGGUUGUGUUUCCUUAGUUAAUGAUGUCCAACAUUAUUGUGUGUGUGUGUGUGUACUAAAACAAAGCUAGUAAUUAUUGGUGUGUGUACAUAAGUUGUACUAAAACAAAGCUAGUAAUUAUUGGUGUGGCUAAAAUAUGAGCAUAAUAACAGCAUGAAGAGAUGAGUUCAAUUAUUUGAAUUCCUGUAUAAAUACUGUUUUUCUUCUCUUGUGGAACCUGUGAAGGGAUGUAUGUUACUUUCAUAGUAACCCAAAUUCUUAUAUUCUUUGUAGGAUGAAUAAGGGCACUGCUACCUUUACUUAAUUUUAUAGUUUUUUGUCCUACAAGAAAAAACUCAUGCAGUUUUAGUCCCUUCUAAAAUCAAAUUUAUUUAAUUAUCCUUAAACACUUAAAAUUUUGAAUAUUAAGAAUAUUUUAACAUGAGAUGAAAUAAAUAUGAAUUAUUUAAAAGCCAAAAGUUCAACUAAAAAUAAUUAAUAUCUAGUCUAAAAAACAAAUUUUGAGCUGUUUUUUUUUUUUGAGAAACUUUUGUUCAUUUAUCAUCUUUUUUUUUUAUUAAACAUUUAUCAUCUUUUUUAGUUUGUGUGAAACGGACAAAUGUGAUAAUUAUUAUGGGAUAAAUUGUCACGAAUAUCGAGGCCUAACUCAUCCUUACAAAACCGGCUUGUAAGGUGAGGAUUGCCUCCUCUUUAUAAACUCUUCUCAAGAGUCCUAUCCGAUGUGGGACUAAAUCCCACUGAGUGUUNNNNNNNNNNNNNNNNNNNNNNNNNNNNNNNNNNNNNNNNCUGUGCGGAUUAAUAGAUCAAUAAAGUAAGUAAUAUUAAUAACUAGUUAAUGAAAAUGCACAAUUAAUAGUAAGUUUGUUAAUUAUGCAAAUGUGACACUCAUUGCAUAAUUUGCAUAAUAAAAAUGAAAACACAAAAAACUGGAGCCUCUAAUUUCAACAUCUCUUAAGUUGAAUCAUUGAACAUUAUUGCAGAAAGGAACAAAUGGAAGCUAUGUUAGCUUUUUCUGUUCGUUCACACCACAUCCCAAUAACACUUGAAACACAAACAUCAUUAAAAAAAAACAUGUUCUUGAACUCACAAAUACAUUUAACACUUCCAUUAAUUCGUGGGAAUACUUCAAAAUUCAAGCUUUUCACUGUCUUAUCAUCUUCUCCAUUAACAGAGUCCAGUAGUAGUAAUCUUCAAGUGGAUGAUGAGGAGUCAGAAGUUGAAGCAGAUUCAGAGAAAUUUGAUUGGUACUCACAGUGGUAUCCAUUGAUGCCAAUUUGUGAUCUUGACAAAAGAGCACCUCAUGCUAAGAAAGUGAUGGGAAUUGAUGUUGUUAUAUGGUGGGAUAGGAAUGAAGGUGAAUGGAAAGUUUUUGAUGAUGCAUGUCCUCAUAGAUUGGCACCUUUGUCUGAAGGAAGAAUUGAUCAAUGGGGUAGGUUGCAGUGUGUGUAUCAUGGUUGGUGUUUUAAUGGAUCAGGUGAUUGCAAGUUUAUUCCUCAGGCACCUCGUGACGGUCCUCCUGUAACUACUCCCUCCGUUCCUUUUUAACUAUCGCUUUUGAAGAGAAAAAAUUGUUUGUUAUCUUGUAGUCGUCAUUUACUUUUGCAUAAACAAAAUUGCAGAUUCAUACGUCGAAAAAAGCAUGUGUAGCUGCUUACCCAAGCACUGUGCAGAAUGAUAUCUUGUGGUUUUGGCCAAAUACUGAUCCUCAAUACAAAGAUAUUAUCACAAAGAAAACACCCCCAUUCAUACCAGAAAUUGAUGAUCCAUCCUAUAGUAGCUUAAUGGGGAACAGAGAAAUUGCUUAUGGGUAAGAUUGUAAGACUAAAAAAGAAUGAUAUUCCUGUUGUAGAUUGGCCUAGCUUAACAUUAAUGUGAUUGUUUUCCUCUGAUUGGUAAUUGAUAGCUUGAUAUAAUAAUUUGAUAUGAUUUUGGAAGAUGAAAAACACAAACAUUACAUUAAAUAUGCAUAAUUUGCAUUGUUAAGAAGUCUCACAUCGGUUGCAAUAUGGCCUGACUAAGUGUUUAUAAACUAGAGGCAAUCCUCACUUUACAAGCUGGUUUUGUAAGGUUGGAUUAACUCAAUUCUAAGAUGCAUGUUAGACUUUUUAAGAAAACAUGUCAUUAAGCUCUUUUCAGGUAUGAGGUACUGAUUGAAAACCUCAUGGACCCUGCACAUCUUCCAUAUGCACACUAUGGAAUGUUGAACACUCCAAAACCAAAAGGUAUGCAUAUAUAUAUGAUAAAUCUUUUAACUUCAGCAAAUUCCUAUUUGUUUUAUAUAUGACAAUUACAUACUCUUUUUUUGACACAAUGACAAUUACAUACUUAAAACUCAAUUAAUUUAACAGAGAAACUUGAUAGAGAAGGAGGAACACCACUUGAAUUGUCAAUUGAAGAGUUAGAUGUAAAUGGUUUCACAGUAAAUCAGGGUUGGACUUGGAGCGAAAGCAAAUUUAUGCCACCAAGCAUCUUUUAUGCAUAUUCUGAUAAAUAUGAACCUGCAUCUUCUGUUGAAACUAAGGUAACUUAUUGAGUAUUAUGAUCCUUAUAUAACGAAAAGUGCGCAGCCAGUUUUAUACUAGUGUUACAUAAUGUAUUUUAAUGCAGAAAUCAUCGGUUCAGAAGAAAUUUGCUUUGAUCUUUAUUUGUAUUCCUGUUAGUCCUGGUAAUAGCAGACUAAUUUGGUGC